UACGGAGGGUGCAAGCGUUAUCCGGAUUCACUGGGUUUAAAGGGUGCGUAGGUGGGCAGGUAAGUCCGUGGUGAAAUCUCUGAGCUUAACUCAGAAACUGCCGUGGAUACUAUUUAUCUUGAAUGUUGUGGAGGUUAGCGGAAUAUGUCAUGUAGCGGUGAAAUGCUUAGAUAUGACAUAGAACACCCAUUGCGAAGGCAGCUAACUACGCAAAUAUUGACGCUGAGGCACGAAAGCGUGGGGAUCAAACAGG
rnacentral:rRNA from 1 species